rnacentral:rRNA from 1 species
UACAGAGGGUGCAAGCGUUGUGCGGAAUUAUGGGGCGUAAAGGGCGCGUAGGCGGUGCGACAAGUCACCUGUGAAAUCCCCAGGCUUAACCUGGGAAGUGCGCGGAAAACUGGCGAGCUUGAGUGCCGGAGAGGGUCGCGGAAUUCCCGGUGUAGAGGUGAAAUUCGUAGAUAUCGGGAGGAACACCAGUGGCGAAGGCGGCGACCUGGACGGACACUGACGCUGAGACGCGAAAGCGUGGGGAGCAAACAGG